CCUACGGGAGGCAGCAGUGAGGAAUAUUGGUCAAUGGGCUUACGCCUGAACCAGCCAAGUCGCGUGAGGGAAGACUGCCCUAUGGGUUGUAAACCUCUUUUUUCAGGGAGCAACUCCGGCUACGUGUAGCCUGACUGAGAGUCCCUGAAGAAAAAGCAUCGGCUAACUCCGUGCCAGCAGCCGCGGUAAUACGGAGGAUUCGACGGUUCUCCGACUUUAGUGGGUUUACAGGGUGCGUAGGCGGAAUGCAAAUUCAGCGGGAGAAUCGCGGGUCUAACCCUCGAUCCGCCGUUGAAACUGGCGUUCUGGAGUGGGCGAGAGGUAGGCGGAAUGCGUGGUGUAGCGGUGAAAUGCAUAGAUAUCACGCAGAACACCGAUUGCGAAGGCAGCAUACCGGAGCCCAACUGACGCUGAAGCACGAAAGCGUGGGUAUCGAACAGGAUUAGAUACCCGAGUAGUC
rnacentral:rRNA from 1 species